AAAUAAACCUGAUAAAGUGAAAAUACUUUUUGGUGCAAGUAUUCAACAUGCUUGUACAAACAAUAAUAAAAAGAUUGGAACGAUAGCAGGACUACCC
rnacentral:sRNA from 1 species